rnacentral:rRNA from 1 species
UACGAAGGGGGCUAGCGUUGUUCGGAAUUACUGGGCGUAAAGCGUUUGUAGGCGGUAGAACAAGUCAGAUGUGAAAGCCUGGGGCUCAACCUCAGAAUUGCAUUUGAAACUGUUCUGCUAGAGAAUGUUAGAGGAAAGUGGAAUUCCUAGUGUAGGAGUGAAAUCCGUAGAGAUUAGGAGGAAUAUCGAUGGCGAAGGCAGCUUUCUGGGACAUUUCUGACGCUGAGAAACGAAAGCGUGGGUAGCAAACAGG